UUUCAUACUCCAUAGUAUGGAAGGGAUAUUAUUUUAUUUCAUAUUCCUAAAUUUAAACUUACUAUGGUAAGUAUUGCUUCUAUAAUUCCUGAAAUUAGUAGAAUAUCCUUGAUAUUUGCGCUUCAUCCAGUAUCUUUUCACCCAAUAAGUUUUAACCUGACAUUUAGAUUUUUGGUUGCUCUUGGGACAGCUGCUCAAGUUCGCCAAAAGCUCCGAGUUGGGUUUUCGGUUUUUGCCAGCUGGUUUGAUGCUCAUAGUUUUCGUGGGUUGUUGUUCAGAUGGUUGCCAUGAAUUUUUAGUCCGUAUAGACUUGUUCGACUGAUUGUCGAGGUUGCUUUCGGUUUUGCUACUGAUGUUCUAUCGGAAUCUAUGACUUGGGUUAUCAAAAUCUUGGUCGGGUCUUGUGUUCUAGCAGCUCGCCAGAGAUUUUCAGGCCAGUCAUUGGAAAUUCGCCGGUCUAUUGUGGGUCACGUGGUGCUGAUCUCACUGACUAGUUUGCUGCGUACGUGGACUAUGUUUUAUACUGCAUAUGCUUUUUGCUCACGUGGGAUGGGUUAAUCAACUGGUGGACUCUCUUGGUUCACCUGCUCGGGAUGCUUUCUCGGAUGUGAGGAGUUCUGAGUCAAUCAAUUUAUCGAUUACCCAAGAUGAUUCUUCUUUUUUCAGAGGAGUUAAUUUGGAGUUAGCAGUUAUAGGUUCCCUAUCAGUUUGAUUUGGUUUUUUUAUUUGUUUCAGCUUAUUGGGUGUGUUUUGUUGUUCCCCUGUUCAUCUAAGCAUGUUUUGUUGUUGCUUUUGUUCAAUGGUGUUUGGUUGCCUUCAAGGAGAUCUGGUUUUUCUGGAUGAGAAUGUCGCCGAUAAUGGUGCUUUGUUUGGGCGUCCUUUCUCGCCGGUUUUCCUUGCCGUCGGUCUAUUUGGUGCAGGGUCAGUCCGGCAUGACUGUUUUGGGCGGAGUGUUGCUGCACAUCUGGGGCCCACGGCUGUUUCAGCUAACUGCACUCCAGUUUUAGUUGGUGUUGCAAAGCUUGCAUUGGGCCCACUAUUGUUUAUGCUGCAUGGAUUUGGAGCUUAAUUCAGUAUCUUUGGUCCACCUUAGCUGAUAUAUGCCCACGUGGGCUUGACAUUCAAUUAUCCUGAUGGGUUCUAUUUUGGGCCUUGUCUGAGAUAAUAUUUGUUGUAACUAAUUGGCUCUUUUGCUAAUUUAGUGUUUCUAUUGACCUAACCUCGGGUUAUGAGGAAAAUUAUAAUUAGGUUAGGUCUUUGGUUUCCUAGCUUUUCUAGGUGUUUUAGUCCUCUCGGGAGAAGAGGACUAUGAUCUGGUCUUCAUUGUAAUAUCCAAAUUUUUGCAUUAAAUACACAAACAAAUUUAGCAAAAAAAAUGAAGGACCGCAGCUUGGCCAUGAUAUGUCUGAUAUCUUUAGAGCAGCCCAUCAACUCUCUUAGCAGGGCCAUAUUGAUGCUGCUGAUGAGCGUAAGCGUAGCAAUACCCUAAUGGACUUCAUCUUAUCCCAAGGUUUUUCUGUUCAGAAUAUCAAUGACUGCUAACAAAGGUAAAUCGGUUAGGCAAGUUAACGACCAUGACCUGUUUGAUAAAAGUACUCUGAGAGGGUCCUCCGGGCUACCUAUCCUAGCACUUGUUUCUGGGCUUAUCUCUGCCUCCGGCUUAUCUGGCC
rnacentral:lncRNA from 1 species